UUGGUACCGCUUGUACAGGAUAGGUAGGAGCCGUAGAGAUCGGAACGCUAGUUUCGAUGGAGGCAUUGGUGGGAUACUACCCUAGCUGUAUGAACACUCUAACCCGCGCCACUAAUCGUGGCGGGAGACAGUGUCAGGUAGGCAGUUUGACUGGGGCGGUCGCCUCCUAAAAUGUAACGGAGGCGCCCAAAGGUUCCCUCAGAAUGGUUGGAAAUCAUUCGCAGAGU
rnacentral:rRNA from 1 species